GCUUGUCUCAAAGAUUAAGCCAUGCAUGUUCAAACAUAAGUAUUAUAAAGCGAAGUUGCGAAUGGCUCAUUAUAUCAGUUAUAAUAUACUAGAUAGUUUCUCUACUUGGAUAACCGUAGUAAUUCUAGAGCUAAUACAUGACUAAAAGGGCUAGCCCUGCAUUUAUUAGAUACAACCAACCCUUCGGGUUUUGGCGAAUCAUAAUAACUGAGCGGACCGUAUUCGUACGGCGUUUCUUAUUAAUUUCUGCCCUAUCAGCUUUCGAUGGUAGGGUAUUGGCCUACCAUGGCGUUAACGGGUAACGGAGAAUUAGGGUUCGAUUCCGGAGAGGGAGCCUGAGAGAUGGCUACCACAUCCAAGGAAGGCAGCAGG
rnacentral:rRNA from 1 species